GCUAACUUUAUUAGAGAUCAUUAUUUAAUAGAAUUCAAACUGGUUCGAAUUCCUAUUUCCGGCCCUUUAAAUUUAAAAGUAGGCGCGCGGAAAAGGCGCCUAAACAGCAGAGAGGAUCGGCUGGAGAAUUGACGGUUGAAAACUGCACAAAGUAAAGUCAAGAUCCUCCUGCUGUAAAAACCAGCAUUGACCAGCAUGAAUUCCCUUUCACUCACUGUUUCCCAACCUGCAGUCGGUUCAGCACGAAACAUCAGGCUCACAGCAACAGAUUAAGAAGAAUCCUGCAUCAAAAGAUGACUUCAACUUGCAUGUGAGACAGAGUGAGAAGAGAAAAAGAGGAAUGAAGAUGGACUGUCUAAGAAACCUGUUUUGUUCAUAACGGAACUUGCAUCUAUCUCCCACGAAUGUAGAAUGCUGAAGGCGAGCAGAAAUGAGAAAAGUUAUGCUACAGCUCUCUGUUUGCAGCACGUCAGUCACGCUCGUCGGGAAAGUGAGUGAAACACACACACAAACACACAUUUUUAUAAAAUAAUACGGCAUUA